GACGAACGCUGGCGGCGUGCCUAACACAUGCAAGUCGAGCGCUGAAGCUCGGUACUUGUACCGACUUGAUGAGCCGCGCACGGGAGAGUAACGUGUGUGGAAUCUGCCUUUGAGCGGGGGACCACCUUUGGAAACGAAUGCUAAUACCGCAUAAAAUCUUUCAACACAAGUUUUAAGUUUGAAAGAUGCCAUUUCAUCACUCACACAUGAUUCCUCGUCGUAUUAGCUAGUUGGUGAGGUACCAGCUCACCGAGGCGAAGCUACCUAGCCGACCUGAGAGGGUGAGCAGCCAGAUUGGGACGGAGACACGCCCCAAACGCCCACGGGAGGCAGCAGGAGGGAAACUUCAGGAAUCGACGAAAGACUGACCGAGCAACGCCGAGGGAGGGAAGAAGGUUGUCGGGUCGUAAAACUCUGCUGGUAGGGAAGAACGUUGGUGAGAGUGGAAAGCUCAUCAAGUGACGGUAACUACUCAGAAAGGGACGGCUAACUACGUG
rnacentral:rRNA from 1 species